UGUUUGAAGCUGUUGGCCCUUGGUGUGCGA
rnacentral:piRNA from 1 species